CCUACGGGUGGCAGCAGUGGGGGAUAUUGCACAAUGGGGGAAACCCUGAUGCAGCGACGCCGCGUGUGGGAAGACGGUCCUCUGGAUUGUAAACCACUGUCCCCAGGGACGAAGAUGACGGUACCUGGGGAGGAAGCUCCGGCUAACUACGUGCCAGCAGCCGCGGUAAUACGUAGGGAGCGAGCGUUGUCCGGAAUUACUGGGUGUAAAGGGAGCGUAGGCGGGGAUGCAAGUUGGGUGUCAAAACUACCGGCUCAACCUGUGGCCUGCAUUUGAAACUGUAGUUCUUGAGUACUGGAGAGGCAGACGGAAUUCCUAGUGUAGCGGUGAAAUGCGUAGAUAUUAGGAGGAACACCAGUGGCGAAGGCGGUCUGCUGGACAGCAACUGACGCUGAGGCGCGAAAGCGUGGGGAGCAAACAGGAUUAGAUACCCUUGUAGUC
rnacentral:rRNA from 1 species